AUUUAAAAUCUCUCUUUUUCAAUCGUUGAUGAUUUGAAAAUAUUGGGCUUUCAUAUUUACUGCAUUCGAUGCUUUGGACUUACGAGAAUUGGUCAACUGGGCCUAUAAUACAAUUUAUUGAAAUGCAUUAUAAUUGCCUUCUUCUUCCCAACGUUGAUGAAAGAAACAGCCGUCGAGGGUUUCUGCCAUUGAUGAGUUUGAGCUCAUGUUUAUCCAACUGAGUAUGGAGCUUUGACUUGGUUAUGAGGGUCGUUUCCGAGCAAUCUCUGGUGGCAGCCGCCUAUUGUGUUGACUCGCAUUCCGAUAUUAUAUUCUCACCUGCUAUGGAAACCAGAACGUUAUGUAACUCGGAUGCAUUUAACGUUUCAAUUAAUUCCAUCUCCCCCACUCCUUACAUGAUUUCUCAUUCAUUGCGUCUCUCUUUCUCCCAGUCGUUGAGUCUGUAGCUAUAAAUAGGUGAUUUUGUAUACCUAAAAUUCAUCAUUUCAUUCCUCACUAAGAUGGAUUUUUUUCUCUGUUCAUGUGACUGAUAACGCUCCGCCUUGGGAAGAACAUAAAUUCACCGCAUCUAUGCGUUUCAAGAUAUCCAUCGAUGCCUCUAUGACUUAUCAUGGUCAGCUUCCGUAUCAACUAGACGUGAGUCGCAUAAGGAUUGUCUGUGAGCAGAAGUACUCAAUCCUGAGGACACAGAAGUUUCUUCUAUGAACUUCCCAUAUUUCUUAAGAUCAGCUGUGGAUUAUUUUAGAUGAUUUUUCUCUCUUGGUUUCUGAAGAUAUGUUCGUAUUCUUUGUGUGUUUUAUCUCUCACUAGGUCCCCGAUCUUGAUGUCUAUUGCUACCUUGAGCCUUUCUACAGUGACCACAGAAAAGUUACGCUAAAGCUAUCUGAUGGGAGGUUUUUGUUGACGAAAUCAUUGAGGAACUUUAACAAGGACUGCAAUACCACGCUUUAAGUAAAGGAUGUUUUAGUAACAUCAACUUAUGUCCAUAUAAAUUGUGGAAGCAAGUUUGCAAAGAAUGCAUCAUAUCUGUCUACAAUGGGGGUGAUUGGUUGGGUUGUAAUUGUAGAAAAUUUACUUUAAUAUUUUGUCUGUAGGAUUUUUGAUUUAGCUUUAAAUGAUGUAGCUUUAAAAUUUCCUACAGCUAAAAAAAUGGGGCUUUAGAAAAUAAGAUGUUUACAGCCAUUUUUUGUGUGUUUUUGCUGUAGUUUUAAUUUUUUGGUUGUAGCUUUAAAAACCAAGAUAAAGCAUGAUUGGUAGUAUUUAAGGUUGUAGAUGAAAAUUAAAGCUAAAGUCACUUUCUACAGCCCAACCAAUCACCCCCAAUGUGUCCCCGUAUCUUGCUCUCUGGACCAGCUGAUUAUUUUACGGCUUUGAAAUUUAUCAGAAAAUAUUAGCAAAAGCACUUGCGAAAUAUAUAUUGGGGACAAAUUGAUUAUUCUUGACAGCCUCAUAUUACUUGGGGGAUCAACAGCCAAGGAAGCAAAUUUUACCAAAGGAAGUUCGUGGCGUGGAAGAUUGCAUGUGCAUGUUAAACGAGCGGUACAUCUGGAUGAUAUAACAGGUGGAUCAAGAUUGACUUCUCAGACUGUUAAGAAGUACCAACUACAACCUCUAAAAGUUACACCUUUAAAACAAGUAUGGUCAUUUAGUUUUCAUUUCUUUGUCGCUUUCUAUUUUACAUUAUAAAGAUACUUAUUUUACCAA